UACGUAGGGGACAAGCGUUGUCCGGAUUUAUUGGGCGUAAAGAGCGUGUAGGCGGCCAGAUAGGUCAGCUGUGAAAACUCGAGGCUCAACCUCGAGACGUCGGUUGAAACCAUCUGGCUAGAGUCCGGAAGAGGAGAGUGGAAUUCCCGGUGUAGCGGUGAAAUGCGCAGAUAUCGGGAAGAACACCCGUGGCGAAGGCGGCUCUCUGGGACGGUACUGACGCUGAGACGCGAAAGCGUGGGGAGCAAACGGG
rnacentral:rRNA from 1 species